CCCACAUUAUGGACUAUUCAUCCCCACUCACUCCUUCAUAAAUGAUUCUCCUCCUAUUUUUUUACUUACGAACUUUGUUCAAUGCGUGGGCUUAAAAUUUUUGCAAUUUCACAUCUUCAAUUCAAGCAUUUUUCACAAGGAGGAUCUGUGAGAGAAUUCUUCUAAUGUGAUCGACGAAGGGAAUAUAUAUUCAGUAGUAAGGUACAUGUCCUGAAACUCGAUGUAUGUAAAUAUCCAGUUGAAAAUGAAUGAAGUGGAGGCCUAUUGUUGUUGAAGUGGAGGCCUAUUGUUGAUUUACUGCUUUCAUUAUACUGUAAUAACCGUACUGAUGGACUGUUAAUUAUAAGUUUGUGCAUUUGAACCGUUAAGUGUGUGUUAGAUAUUUAGAAAUGCAUAUGAGUUUAGUUGAGUAUUCGUUGUAAUAAUUCCAUGCUGGACUAACAGAAUAGUUUCUAUUAGUUUAGUUAAUUUCCGGUUUUCCUAGAUCUGUAUAAAUGGUAUUUUCAAGCUGUGAUUAAUUAGGCUGUAGACUGUUAAAGUAGUGUGAUACUUCUUCUGA